rnacentral:snoRNA from 1 species
AGCACUUGUGUUUGUUGAACUUGUUCUCAAAGACUUAUGCACAAAAAAUAAAUUCCCUUUUGCAACCUCGAACUCAUUGUCCUGUAUGAGUUCUUAUACGUACAAGGAUAUG